rnacentral:lncRNA from 1 species
AUUAGUUUGGCAAAAGGUGAAGAAGGCUGGACUGGAGACGUGAUUGCGGUUGGACAGGUCACAGACUGCCUGAGCCUGGUUCCACACCAUUCACAGAAGAUUAUCAUGGGAAUCCUCCUGGAACUGUGCAACGUGCAUGCCCUGCCUUGGGGCAGGGAGGGGUUCUGCAAUAUAAUUUUUGCAGAAAAGAAUGGGCAUCAUCUCUUCAAAGUAUUUGGUACUAAGGGUUCCCCCUGAAAGAUGUAAGUUUCCUUCUGUUGGCUGAAAUAAUAUAAGAAAUGGAAAAAAUACACUUUCAAGAAUUUCAAUUUAGAUACUGUUUAUAUUUGUGUGUGUAUGCAAAACAGUUCUUGUAUUUUUAUGUACAAGAUUUGGCACAAUAAAUGCUGAUUUUCUUGGGGCUGUGGAUAACAUUUCUGGAGCGGUGUCUCACUUGUUUACAUAGAUUAUUGACUUGCAGGAGUUCUUCGCUCUGUGUCAAAUGCUUCUGUGUUAACUGGUUAGAAACUAAACAAGUUAGACCUGGCAGGCUUCAAGUCUCUGCAGGCAAUAAUAGAUGUUAUCAGUUAU